rnacentral:tRNA from 1 species
AGUAUAAUGUCUGAUUAAAGGAUUUCUUUGAUAUAGAAAAGCAAGUAUUUUAUUAAUACUUAUACUA